UACGUAGGGGGCAAGCGUUGUCCGGAGUUACUGGGCGUAAAGCGCACGCAGGCGGUCUGUUAAGUUUGGAGUGACAGUUGGUGGCUUAACUGCCAAAGUGCUUCGAAAACUGAUCGACUUGAGGGCUUCAGAGGGACACGGAAUUCCGGGUGGAGUGGUGAAAUGCGUAGAGAUCCGGAGGAACACCGAAGGCGAAGGCAGUGUCCUGGGGAGUACCUGACGCUCAGGUGCGAAAGCCAGGGGAGCGAACGGG
rnacentral:rRNA from 1 species